rnacentral:rRNA from 1 species
GACGAACGCUGGCGGCAGGCUUAACACAUGCAAGUCGAACGCCCCGCAAGGGGAGCGGCAGACGGGUGAGUAACGCGUGGGAACGUGCCCUUCGCUUCGGAAUAGCCCCGGGAAACUGGGAGUAAUACCGGAUACGCCGUAUUGGGAAAGAUUUAUCGGCGAAGGAUCGGCCCGCGUUGGAGUAGCUAGUUGGAGGUGUAAUGGACCCCCAAGGCUACGAUCCAUAGCUGGUCUGAGAGGAUGAUCAGCCACACUGGGACUGAGACACGGCCCAGACUCCUACGGGAGGCAGCAGUGGGGAAUCUUGGACAAUGGGCGCAAGCCUGAUCCAGCCAUGCCGCGUGAGUGAAGAAGGCCUUAGGGUUGUAAAACUCUUUCGCCGGAGAAGAUAAUGACGGUAUCCGGAGAAGAAGCCCCGGCUAACUUCGUGCCAGCCGCCGCCGUAAGAC